GUGGGGAAUCUUGGACAAUGGGGGCAACCCUGAUCCAGCGACGCCGCGUGGGUGACGAAGGCCUUCGGGUUGUAAAGCCCUUUUGCCGGGGACGAUGAUGACGGUACCCGGAGAAGAAGCACCGGCUAACUCCGUGCCAGCAGCCGCGGUAAGACGGAGGGUGCUAGCGUUGUUCGGAAUUACUGGGCGUAAAGGGCGCGUAGGCGGCCAUGUAAGUCGGGUGUGAAAGCCCGGGGCUCAACCCCGGAACGGCACCCGAGACUGUAUGGCUGGAGACCGGAAGAGGUGAGUGGAAUACCCAGUGUAGAGGUGAAAUUCGUAGAUAUUGGGUGGAACACCGGUGGCGAAAGCGGCUCACUGGUCCGGUUCUGACGCUGAGGCGCGAAAGCGUGGGGAGCAAACAGGAUUAGAAACCCCAGUAGUCC
rnacentral:rRNA from 1 species